CAGACUUGAAGAAACGUUCAGAAAGUUAUUACAUAUGAAGUUAUUUGUUUGGACCGAAAGAACAAGAAAUACCCUUAGAUAUGGAAGAUGAAAGGAGGUGUACCCUCUUCUAGCAAAUUACUUGGAGUUCAUCACAUUGUCGUUAUCUUCUAUAUCUGGCAUUCUUGGGUCCAUGUUGUUUCCUUGGGAUGGCGGACCUCUGAUUCACUGUGUCUUGUAUUGUGUUUUGAGCUCUUUAAUAAAAUUUUGUUUCGUAAAAAAAACUUUUUCUUUUCUUUUCAUUUUCAAGUUUUUAAUUUUCAGCAAUUCCUGAAAUUUGUUCAACCACCAUUUGAGGCACUUUUAAAACUUGAGAUAAUCCAUCUUCAUUACCAUCUGCAAGAAAGAAUCAAGUUGCUAUGUGAGGGUAUUGUUCACAGCUCUCACUAAGGCAAAUCCUAAUAUGGUUUUCUUUGUUAGAAUCAGUUAUGAUCCUUCUCCUUUAUGCCCCAUUAGGAGAUAGGCCAUAGUGGAUUGAUUUGUACCUUGAUAUUGUUGAAGAUGUUUUAGGAAGUUUUGUUUUUUGCUUCAUCCACACUGUUAUUUUUCACUCACCUUUAUUGUAGAAAAUAUUUAUUGUUUUUGUUUCUACAUUUAGAAUAAUAUCCUUUUCUUCCUGUGAUCAUUUUGUUGAGCUGAAUUGAAUGUUCUGGUGUCCAUACGAGUCAUGCAAGAGUUGCUGCUCAAAAGCUCAAAAUCCAUGUCAUAUUCACGUUUUGAAAUCAAAUGCAACAUUUCUGGACAAGGCAUCAACCUCAAGCUCUCCUCUAUUUGACCAUCAAUCGAGGCAUCACCAUCAGGGAAUUCACAUCGAACAAUUUUGCUCAAUUCAAUAAUGUGCAUCUUCCCCUUCGUUCUAGGAAGCCUUUGACCAAAAAGGAUACCGUAGCUAUUAAUGAGUGGAGAUUUUCCAAGUUAAAGGAAUACUACAAGGACAGAAACAUCAAAAUGGAAAAUGAAGCUUUUGAUUGAUACAUGCAGAAUGUGACCCUAUUAGAGGAAGUGUUUUUUGUGAAAUCUAUUUCAACCGAUAAUACCACUACUGCUACUACAGAAAAAGACACUGAGGAGGUCUCAGGGUUGAAGUUGAAGUUUAGAUCAAAUCCAAUGAGAACCAAUAACUUCAGAAAAAGGAUACGGCAAGUCGUUGAUGAGGGAUUAAAGACUUAAAAAACGUGAGUUAGAUGAUGGGGAGAAGGAACCAAGUGGGAACUGAAUUGGAUCAGGGGCCCAAAGAAGGGGAAAAAUGGCGGGCCGAAAGGGCUUCUGCUCUAGGCGAUCUCAUUGAUAUGCUGAACGAGGCCCGAAAUGUGGAGGAUCUGAAGUUGUGCUUGGAGAUGAAAUCUCAGCUCUUCAAGGAACAUAAAUUGACUAGCACAUCAGAAUCUGAAGAGAAACAGCUACAAAGAAUGAUUUGGAACCCCGGAAAGAGUCGAAUUAUUCAUUUCCCAAAGUUGUUAGCACUACCGAAAUCGAUCAAGAAACUCUCAAUAUCGUCUACACUCGCUUCUCUUCCCUUGAGCAUAUACAAGGUAGAUGAUCUAUGAUUUGAGGGAGGUGUCAUAGAUUAAUGUAGUUUCUUCCUAGAGUUUCCUUUCUAGUCAAUAAUAAAUCAAAGGAUGCUUAGAAGUUGCUCCUGAUUUGCACCGACCCUUCCAACAGGUUGGGAUUGGCCACCCCCUCAUAAUUUAACAUUUUUGACUCUGGUCA